CGCAAGGAACCAGCCGUCGAAGGUGGGGGCGAUGAUUGGGGUGAAGUCGUAACAAGGUAGCCGUAUCGGAAGGUGCGGCUGGAUCACCUCCUUU
rfam:Megasphaera sp. DJF_B143 contig_29, whole genome shotgun sequence.